UCUAAAAUGGCAGAUCAGUGCACAGGACUUAAGCUCCUGAUAGGAAAUUUAUUUCUUUUAGAA
rnacentral:tRNA from 1 species